rnacentral:rRNA from 1 species
GAUGAACGCUGGCGGCGUGCCUAAUACAUGCAAGUCGAGCGAACAGACGAGGAGCUUGCUCCUCUGACGUUAGCGGCGGACGGGUGAGUAACACGUGGAUAACCUACCUAUAAGACUGGGAUAACUUCGGGAAACCGGAGCUAAUACCGGAUAAUAUAUUGAACCGCAUGGUUCAAUAGUGAAAGACGGUUUUGCUGUCACUUAUAGAUGGAUCCGCGCCGGAUUAGCUAGUUGGUAAGGUAACGGCUUACCAAGGCAACGAUGCGUAGCCGACCUGAGAGGGUGAUCGGCCACACUGGAACUGAGACACGGUCCAGACUCCUACGGGAGGCAGCAGUAGGGAAUAUUCCGCAAUGGGCGAAAGCCUGACGGAGCCACGCCGCGUGAGUGAUGAAGGUCUUCGGAUCGUAAAGCUCUGUUAUUAGGGAAGAACAAAUGUGUAAGUAACUAUGCACGUCUUGACGGUACCUAAUCAGAAAGCCACGGCUAACUACGUG